rnacentral:rRNA from 1 species
CCUACGGGCGGCAGCAGUAGGGAAUCUUCCACAAUGGGCGAAAGCCUGAUGGAGCAACGCCGCGUGGGUGAAGCAGGCCUUCGGAUCGUAAAACCCUGUUGUCAGAGAAGAAAGCGCGAGGGAGUAACAGCUCACGUUUCGACGGUAUCCAAACAGAAAGCCACGGCUAACUACGUGCCAGCAGCCGCGGUAAUACGUAGGUGGCAAGCGUUAUCCGGAUUUAUUGGGCGUAAAGGGAACGCAGGCGGUCUUUUAAGUCUGAUGUGAAAGCCUUCGGCUUAACCGGAGUAGUGCAUUGGAAACUGGGAGGCUUGAGUGCAGAAGAGGAGAGUGGAACUCCAGGGGGAGCGGUGAAAUGCGUAGAGAUAUGGAAGAACACCAGUGGCGAAGGCGGCUCUCUGGUCAGUGACUGACGCUGAGGUGCGAAAGCGUGGGGAGCAAACAGGAUUAGAUACCCGAGUAGUC